rnacentral:rRNA from 1 species
GUAGGUGGUUUGUUGCNUCGUCUGUGAAAUUCCGGGGNUUAACUUCGGGGUGGCAGGCGAUACGGGCAUAACUAGAGUGCUGUAGGGGAGACUGGAAUUCCUGGUGUAGCGGUGGAAUGCGCAGAUAUCAGGAGGAAUACCGAUGGCGAAGGCAGGUCUCUGGNCAGUAACUGACGCUGAGGAGCGAAAGCAUGGGGAGCGAACAGGAUUAGAUACCCUGGUAGUCCAUGCUGUAAACGGUGGGCGUUAGGUGUGGGGACCGGUUUGGUUUCUGUGCCGUAGCUAACGCAUUAAGCGCCCCGCCUGGGGAGUACGGCCGCAAGGCUAAAACUCAAAGGAAUUGACGGGGGCCCGCACAAGCGGCGGAGCAUGUGGAUUAAUUCGAUGCAACGCGAAGAACCUUACCUGGGUUUGACAUGCACCAGACGGUUGUAGAGAUACGUACCUCCCUUUGUGGUUGGUGUGCAGGUGGUGCAUGGUUGUCGUCAGCUCGUGUCGUGAGAUGUUGGGUUAAGUCCCGCAACGAGCGCAACCCUUGUCUUAUGUUGCCAGCACUUUGGGUGGGGACUCAUGAGAGACUGCCGGGGUUAACUCGGAGGAAGGUGGGGAUGACGUCAAAUCAUCAUGCCCUUUAUGCCCAGGGCUUCACACAUGCUACAAUGGUUAGUACAACGCGCGGCAAACCUGUGAGGGUGGGCGAAUCGCUGAAAGCUAAUCUCAGUUCGGAUUGGGGUCUGCAACUCGACCCCAUGAAGUCGGAGUCGCUAGUAAUCGCAGAUCAGCAAUGCUGCGGUGAAUACGUUCCCGGGCCUUGUACACACCG